rnacentral:lncRNA from 1 species
ACAGAUCUGAAGAAGAGGGUAGGAAUCACUUUACUGAUUACCCAUAUCCUCAAACCUGGGCUGUCAGAGGUGUAUUUAAAACGACAGUGGUAAACAGGAAGUAGUCUUACAACCUGACUUUCACGAUCUGUCCCAGAUAACAACAACAAAAAAAAUGAUAUCUGAGUUAUUCAGUAUCAUUCAUCGGUCAUCCAUCGUACUAGAUGAUUAACACUGCAGGCAUUACCUUAUGUACUGAGAACCACUGUGACAGGACUUCACUACAAGUUGGCCUGCCAAAUAGGAGUUUGGAGCUCCUAUUAGUUUGACCAAUCAAGUAACAAGUUAAUGGUUUAGGAAAUCACCUGCUGAGCGUUCCACUGGCCGAAAGGAAAGAGAGAGAGGGUGAACCAACACAAAGCCCUUUGUGGGUGAAAAGGAGAGAAGCUGGACUGGAACCCAAGUGGAAAGAUUUGCCUAUCUCCAAAGCCCCAUGCAAUGCAAGAAAGGGGACCAAAGGAGUGCAGGAUGCAGGCGAGGGGUGUCCCAGGUCUGGAAAGGCGCGUCCCUGUGGCUUGUGCGCCUUCCUCGCCCGGGGUGCACAGGUCAAGCCUCUUCCCUCCCGCGCUCUCACCCUCCCAACCUUAUUUAGAAACCGUGUCCCCGAGACAGGAAGGGCGGCGGGCUGAGAAGCACGGAGCGUCCCGGCCUCAUUUCCUUUCGAAUCCCCCUGUGGAAUUUCAUUUCGUACGAGAGGUGGCCACCGGGCUGGAGUUGACAGCUGGAAGGAGAACAUGAAAGGGGCAUAGAUGUGUGAACACUUCUCACCUGAGAGAGGAGAGCAGGUUGGCUGGGCAGGAGCCACGGGGCUCCCAACGACGCCUGGCCCGCAGUGUGCAAUGGAUCCGGGUGGGAGGACGCCAAACGCUUGGAAGCCUAGCGGGGCGGGGCGGCUCUGGAGAGAGCAAGGGAGGGAGGAUCAGGCUGCGGUCCCCGG